rnacentral:rRNA from 1 species
AGACGUAGGGGGCGAGCGUUAUUCGGAUUUAUUGGGCGUAAAGGGCGCGUAGGCGGCUUGGUAAGUCAGAUGUGAAAGCCCGGGGCUUAACCCCGGAAGUGCAUUUGAAACUAUCAGGCUUGAGUAUGGGAGAGGGAAGUGGAAUUCCUGGUGUAGAGGUGAAAUUCGUAGAUAUCAGGAGGAACACCGGUGGCGAAGGCGACUUCCUGGACAAAUACUGACGCUGAGGCGCGAAGGCGUGGGGAGCAAACAGGAUUAGAAACCCUAGUAGUCC